AACGCGAAGAACCUUACCUGGACUCGAAAUUUUGUUGACCGUCUCAGAGAUGAGACUUUCCCGCAAGGGACAGCAGAAUAGGUGCUGCAUGGCUGUCGUCAGCUCGUGUCGUGAGAUGUUGGGUUAAGUCCCGCAACGAGCGCAACCCUUACCCUUAGUUGCUAAUCCGCAAGGAAAGCACCCUAAGGGAACUGCCUGGGAUAACCAGGAGGAAGGUGGGGAUGACGUCAAGUCCUCAUGGCCUUUAUGCCCAGGGCUACACACGUGCUACAAUGGCCGGUACAAAACGUCGCAAACCCGCGAGGGGGAGCCAAUCGCCAAAAACCGGUCUCAGUUCGGAUUGCAGGCUGCAACUCGCCUGCAUGAAGCUGGAAUCGCUAGUAAUCGCGUAUCAGAACGACGCGGUGAAUACGUUCCCGGGCCUUGUACACACCGUAGUAC
rnacentral:rRNA from 1 species